GACGAACGCUGGCGGCGUGCUUAACACAUGCAAGUCGAACGGAAAGGCCCUGCUUUGGUGGGGUGCUCGAGUGGCGAACGGGGGAUUAACACGUGAGUAACCUGCCCCUGACUUUGGGAUAACUUCAGGAAACUGGGGCUAAUACCGGAUAGGAGCUCCUGCUGCAUGGUGGGGGUUGGAAAGUUUCGGCGGUUGGGGAUGGACUCGCGGCGUAUCAGCUUGUUGGUGGGGUAGUGGCUUACCAAGGCUUUGACGGGUAGCCGGCCUGAGCGGGUGACCGGACACAUUGGGACUGAGAUACGGCCCAGACCCCUACGGGAGGCAGCAGUGGGGAAUAUAACACUAUGGGCGGAAGCCUGAUCCAGCACAGCCGCGUGCGGGAUGACGGCCUUCGCGUUGUAAACCGAUUUCGCCUGUGACGAAGCGUGAGUGACGGUAAUGGGUAAAGAAGCACCGGCUAACUACGUG
rnacentral:rRNA from 1 species